rnacentral:sRNA from 1 species
UCUGGUGCAGUGAUUUUAUAUUAGUCCAGUGGUGAAUCCCCCUAUGCGGAGGGGCGUGAACAGCAUUGCUUUAUUUGCUAAACCGUAUGCGCGAGUCAUGGUGGCUGACCAAAGGCUCACCGGGAGGCACCCGGCACCACACAAUGCCACUAAGCUAUUUGGUAGU